rnacentral:rRNA from 1 species
UACGGAGGAUGCGAGCGUUAUCCGGAUUUAUUGGGUUUAAAGGGUGCGUAGGCGGAAGGUUAAGUCAGCGGUCAAAUGUCGGUGCUCAACACCGGCCUGCCGUUGAAACUGGUCUUCUUGAGUGAGCGAGAAGUAUGCGGAAUGCGUGGUGUAGCGGUGAAAUGCAUAGAUAUCACGCAGAACUCCGAUUGCGAAGGCAGCAUACCGGCGCUCAACUGACGCUCAUGCACGAAAGCGUGGGUAUCGAACAGG